AACAUUGGGGUUCAUAAGUGUGAUGUGUGGGUGUUCACGCUCUUAUGUGACAUGUGCCUCCCACAAACCUUGUUACGACAUCAGCACAUUACCAGUUCGACA